rnacentral:lncRNA from 1 species
GCAAAGACAGAGAAUUCACGUGCUGCCCAGGCAUAGCCACAUAGCAGGUGGACAUCCCUGGACACUUUUCUGACAAAGCACGCAAUGUGGGGACAACACAGAAAUCCAAGAAAGGCAAGACCAAUUUCAAGGCACUAAAUAAGUGGACUGAGACAAGAAGUACACAGAUACUUCCCAGAACAAAACCCUCAUUGGAUUUUCCUGGAAGUACGGAGAGUUACAUCCAGAGAACUCUGAACAUUUUGGAAGGACCCCAAUCCUGCAAACAAUGAAUGGCAAUAAAUCCUGGGACUGGAAAGGGGCUUCUCAACCCCAAGGCAACCAUAAAGUCCUAUACAAAGAAAGAUACAGCAGUGUGAAAGAGGCCUGGAUGAAAAAACAAAGACAGAGCCAGUGAGCCAGAGCCAGAGCCAGAGGACAAGAGAGAAAGGCAGAGAAUGGAAAACACAGACAGAGAAGGCAGAUGCGUAGAGAGACAGAGAUUCAAUGAGAAAAUAAGGAAGGAAGAAAGAAAGAAAACAAAAACGUUCUCAGCACUACAACUUCUGCCUUGUUCUGUUCCAGAACAGUAUGAGCUCAGUACUUUUUCAGACUCUCAAUUUUCUACAACUAAUAAUUUGCUCUUUCAGUUAGUGGCAAAGGCUUAACGACAAAGGUUCAUCUUUAAUAUUAGAGAGGCACUUUUAAAAUUUAUGAUGCUAAGCCUUUUGUUCUGGAUAUGGUAUGUUGCACAGGUCUAGGGACUGGGAUUUCAGAUGUCUAUUCCGUACCCUUAUUCUUUUAUUUAUUAAAUCUUUUAGUGUG